rnacentral:rRNA from 1 species
GACGAACGCUGGCGGCGUGCUUAACACAUGCAAGUCGAACGGAAAGGCCCCUUUGGGGGUACUCGAGUGGCGAACGGGUGAGUAACACGUGAGUAACCUGCCCUUGACUUCGGGAUAACUUCAGGAAACUGGGGCUAAUACCGGAUAGGAAUCCUUGCUGCAUGGUGGGGGUUGGAAAGCUUCGGCGGUUUUGGAUGGACUCGCGGCUUAUCAGCUUGUUGGUGGGGUAGUGGCUCACCAAGGCUUUGACGGGUAGCCGGCCUGAGAGGGCGACCGGCCACAUUGGGACUGAGAUACGGCCCAGACUCCUACGGGAGGCAGCAGUGGGGAAUAUUGCACAAUGGGCGGAAGCCUGAUGCAGCAACGCCGCGGGCGGGAUGACGGCCUUCGGGUUGUAAACCGCUUUCAGCAGGGGCGAAGCUUGUGGUGACGGUACCUGCAGAAGAAGCACCGGCUAACUACGUG